AGGUGCGAUCAUAAAAACGUUAAUGUACCGUAUCCCAUCAGAGCUCCGCAGUUAAGCGCGGUUGGGCUAGAGUAGUACUGUGAUGGGUGACCUUCUGGUAAGUCCUAGUGUUGCACCCU
rfam:Picea glauca, whole genome shotgun sequence.